GUGGGGAAUCUUCCGCAAUGGACGAAAGUCUGACGGAGCAACGCCGCGUGAGUGAUGAAGGUCUUCGGAUUGUAAAGCUCUGUUAAUCGGGACGAAAGAGCCUAGUGUGAAUAAUGCUAGGAAGUGACGGUACCGGAAUAGAAAGCCACGGCUAACUACGUGCCAGCAGCCGCGGUAAUACGUAGGUGGCAAGCGUUGUCCGGAAUUAUUGGGCGUAAAGCGCGCGCAGGCGGAUCUGCCAGUCUGUCUUAAAAGUUCGGGGCUUAACCCCGUGAUGGGAUGGAAACUACAGAUCUAGAGUAUCGGAGAGGAAAGUGGAAUUCCUAGUGUAGCGGUGAAAUGCGUAGAUAUUAGGAAGAACACCAGUGGCGAAGGCGACUUUCUGGACGAAAACUGACGCUGAGGCGCGAAAGCCAGGGGAGCGAACGGGAUUAGAUACCCCAGUAGUCC
rnacentral:rRNA from 1 species